rnacentral:hammerhead_ribozyme from 1 species
AUCCAGCUGACGAGUCCCAAAUAGGACGAAAUGUACGUCAAACUGGAU